rnacentral:lncRNA from 1 species
GUGUGCUCUUAAACAUUUGGAAAACAUAGUUGACAAUGAUAAUAUAUUUCUAGUCCUUUUAGCUGGUUUAUCACUGAAGAAAAAAACUUGAUGUGGUGACAAGAUUAGGGCACAGUGAGAGUGCUGUGUCAUUGGUUAAGCUAAUGAGUGUUAAUGAGUCAAUUAUAAGGACUAUUAAAAAAAGUGAAAAAACAAUUAAACCUAGUGUUGCUAAUAGAACUGCUAGUAGUGCUAAAGUUACCUAUAUAUCCUAUAAUCAUAUUAUGAAAAGGAUGAAAAAGGCAUUUAAUAUUUGGAUUGAGGACCCAAACACAAAAGGGAGUUCGUUUAAGCAGUUUAGUGAUAAAUAAAAAAGCAUAUACAACAACUAGGACAGAAUUCUGGUCAGUCU